CUCCCGGUGGUUCAACGGAUAGAGCGCCAGACUACGAAUCUGGAGAGUGGGGGUUCGAUUCCCUCUCGGGAGA
rnacentral:tRNA from 1 species